AGUCACUGACAUUAGAUACCCGCGUAGUCCAGGGUGUAAACGCUGCCGACUUGGUGUUGGAGGCCCUUCGGGGGCAUUCAGUGCCGGAGAGAAGUUGUUAAGUCGGCCACUUGGGAGUACGUCCGCAAGGAUGAAACUUAAAGGAAUUGGCGGGGGAGCACCGCAACGGGAGGAGCGUGCGGUUUAAUUGGAUUCAACACCGGAAAACUCACCAAGGGCGACUGUUACAUGAAAGCCAGGCUAAUGACCUUGCUUGAUUUUCAG
rnacentral:rRNA from 1 species